rnacentral:rRNA from 1 species
UACGUAGGGUGCGAGCGUUAAUCGGAAUUACUGGGCGUAAAGCGUGCGCAGGCGGUUUUGUAAGCCAGGUGUGAAAUCCCCGGGCUCAACCUGGGAAUGGCAUUUGGGACUGCAAGGCUGGAGUGCGGCAGAGGAGACUGGAAUUCCUGGUGUAGCAGUGAAAUGCGUAGAUAUCAAGAGGAACACCAGUGGCGAAGGCGAGUCCCUGGACGAUACCUGACACUGAGGCACGAAAGCCGGGGGAGCAAACAGG